rnacentral:rRNA from 1 species
GACUCCGUACGGGAGGCAGCGAAGUGGGAAUAUGCAAGCAUGGGGAAACCCUGAUGCAGCAACGCCGCGUGGAGGAUGACACAUUUCGGUGCGUAAACUCCUUUAUAUAGGAAGAUAAUGACGGUACUAUAUGAAUAAGCGCCGGCUAACUCCGUGCCAGCAGCCGCGGUAAUACGGAGGGCGCAAGCGUUACUCGGAAUCACUGGGCGUAAAGAGCGUGUAGGCGGAUCGAUAAGUCAGGAGUGAAAUCCUAUGGCUCAACCAUAGAACUGCUCUUGAAACUGUCAAUCUAGAGUAUGGGAGAGGUAGAUGGAAUUUCUGGUGUAGGGGUAAAAUCCGUAGAGAUCAGAAGGAAUACCGAUUGCGAAGGCGAUCUACUGGAACAUAACUGACGCUGAGACGCGAAAGCGUGGGGAGGCAAACAGGAUUAGAUACCCUGGUAG